rnacentral:misc_RNA from 1 species
AACGCAUAUUGCACUCUCUGGUAUUCCGGAGAGUAUGCCUGUUUCAGUAUCAUAAAGCGAGGUCGAAGGAAAAUUGGAUUUUCUUUCGGAUCUGAGCCUUUUGCCAAAGAUUUUGGCUGGCUUUAAAUAUAUAAUGAGAGAGAGGGGUAGAAGAGGUUUGUUUUGCUUCUUCUCUUUUCGAAGGCGUAAUUAGUUGGAAAUUUUUUUCCAUCCCUUUCGCUGGAAUAAGAAACUCCUCUUUUUUUUUUUGCAGGAAAAUAAAAAAAAUUGGGAUCCAUUUCCCAAAACCUUGAUCUGAAAUCAGGUAGGAUUACCCGCUGAACUUAA